rnacentral:rRNA from 1 species
GUGAGUAACACGUAUCCAACUGGCCUUUACUUCGGGGAUAGCCUUUCGAAAGAAAGAUUAAUACCCGAUAGCAUAAUGAUUCCGCAUGGUUUCAUUAUUAAAGGAUUCCGGUAAAGGAUGGGGAUGCGUUCCAUUAGGUUGUUGGUGAGGUAACGGCUCACCAAGCCUUCGAUGGAUAGGGGUUCUGAGAGGAAGGUCCCCCACAUUGGAACUGAGACACGGUCCAAACUCCUACGGGAGGCAGCAGUGAGGAAUAUUGGUCAAUGGGCGCUAGCCUGAACCAGCCAAGUAGCGUGAAGGAUGAAGGCUCUAUGGGUCGUAAACUUCUUUUAUAUAAGAAUAAAGUGCAGUAUGUAUACUGUUUUGUAUGUAUUAUAUGAAUAAGGAUCGGCUAACUCCGUGCCAGCAGCCGCGGUAAUACGGAGGAUCCGAGCGUUAUCCGGAUUUAUUGGGUUUAAAGGGAGCGUAGGUGGACUGGUAAGUCAGUUGUGAAAGUUUGCGGCUCAACCGUAAAAUUGCAGUUGAUACUGUCAGUCUUGAGUACAGUAGAGGUGGGCGGAAUUCGUGGUGUAGCGGUGAAAUGCUUAGAUAUCACGAAGAACUCCGAUUGCGAAGGCA